rnacentral:rRNA from 1 species
AGGACGAACGCUGGCGGCGUGCUUAACACAUGCAAGUGGUGCGACGAACCAGGGCUUGCCCUGGGACAAAGCCGCGAACGGGUGAGUAACACGUGAGUAACCUGCCCCGAUGACCGGGACAACCCGAGGAAACUCGGGCUAAUACCGGAUGUGGCGCACAGGCAUAAGCCUGUUCGCUAAAGGAAGCUUCGGCCUCCGCAUUGGGAGGGGCUCGCGGCCCAUUAGCUUGUUGGUGGGGUCACGGCCUACCAAGGCGACGAUGGGUAGCUGGUCUGAGAGGACGAUCAGCCGCACUGGGACUGAGACACGGCCCAGACUCCUACGGGAGGCAGCAGUGGGGAAUCUUGCGCAAUGCGCGAAAGCGUGACGCAGCAACGCCGCGUGGGGGAAGACGGCCUUCGGGUUGUAAACCCCUUUCAGGAGGGACGAAGGUUCGCCGGUGAAUAGCCGUGCGGAUUGACGGUACCUCCAGAAGAAGCUCCGGCUAACUACGUGCCAGCAGCUGCGGUAAUACGUAGGGAGCAAGCGUUGUCCGGAAUCAUUGGGCGUAAAGCGCGCGUAGGCGGCCCCGUAAGUCCGCUGUGAAAGUCAAAGGCUCAACCUUUGAAAGCCGGUGGAUACUGUGGGGCUAGAGUCCGGAAGAGGCGAGUGGAAUUCCUGGUGUAGCGGUGGAAUGCGCAGAUAUCAGGAGGAACACCAAUAGCGAAGGCAGCUCGCUGGGACGGUACUGACGCUAAGGCGCGAAAGCGUGGGGAGCGAACAGGAUUAGAUACCCUGGUAGUCCACGCCGUAAACGAUGGGCACUAGGUGUGGGAGGGGGUCGACUCCUUCCGUGCCGUCGCUAACGCACUAAGUGCCCCGCCCUGGGGAGUACGGCCGCAAGGCUAA